UGGGGAAUAUUGCACAAUGGGCGCAAGCCUGAUGCAGCCAUGCCGCGUGUGUGAAGAAGGCCUUCGGGUUGUAAAGCACUUUCAGCGAGGAGGAAGGUGGUGAGCUUAAUACGCUCAUCAAUUGACGUUACUCGCAGAAGAAGCACCGGCUAACUCCGUGCCAGCAGCCGCGGUAAUACGGAGGGUGCAAGCGUUAAUCGGAAUUACUGGGCGUAAAGCGCACGCAGGCGGUUUGUUAAGUCAGAUGUGAAAUCCCCGGGCUCAACCUGGGAACUGCAUUUGAAACUGGCAAGCUAGAGUCUCGUAGAGGGGGGUAGAAUUCCAGGUGUAGCGGUGAAAUGCGUAGAGAUCUGGAGGAAUACCGGUGGCGAAGGCGGCCCCCCUGGACGAAGACUGACGCUCAGGUGCGAAAGCGUGGGGCAGCAAACAGGAUUAGAUACCCUGGUAGUCCACGCUGUAAACGAUGUCGAUUUUGGAGGUUGUGCCCCUUGAGGCGUGGCUUCCGGAGCUAACGCGUU
rnacentral:rRNA from 1 species